UCAGAGGAAAGGUUUUGCACCUAUCUCACUUUCUCUCUCUAGGGUUUCUCUCUCUUUGAGUAGAAAUCGCCGAUUCGAGCUUAUUUUGCGCCUCGCUCGACGUUUGCUGGUUUGGAGACUUGAGGGGAGUCCUUGGAUCGUGGGAAGGAGGAACCUUACAGAAUUUCUGUGAUCCUAUCACCAGGGAAAGCCGAGUUGCAGCUUUUGAUAGCUGAGUUGGAAGGGGAUUCCAGCAGCUAGAGAGGAGUUAUCUAGCUGUGAUUUCUCCCCUUUAGUCCAGGAAAAACUGAAUUAAGGCUUGGCAAAGUAAUUAGUUAACUUUUGACUCUAUUUUGAACUAUACGAGGUUUAAUCAAGUGUAUUGAUGCCGAUUUGAGUUGUUGGCUGGCAGCAACUGUGAGAAUCACUUUGAGCUAAGUUUGUGACCUUGGGAACUGGUUUGGAAGGUGUUUCAGCUAGUGCAAAGUUGCGACCGACCCUCGGAUUAUCCUUGGCUGAUAUUUGGGAGCUCUCAGAGGUUAAACUCGAUGUACUAAACUGGACCAAACAGGGGUUCAAGUUAUAACCUUGUACAAAGAUUGAGACCCAGUUGAGCUGAAUUUCGGGACUCGUUUGGGCAGGAUCGAGCUUAGUACUAGGUGCUUUUACCUGGAUUGAAGAGUAGGCUUGAUUUUUAUCUCAAUCUAGGGAACUUAAAGGCACCGGAUUUCUUGCGAGUGUGAGUUCGACAAGGGUUGUGGACUAAUAGAACCAUCCACUGCGGGAGAGGC